CCCCUCCCCUGGUCUUCAGGCAGCCUGGCGAGCACCCCAGAGCCAGAUCCUCGUCCCUCCGGCUUCCAGGCCCUGGCCGCCCUACGACACCUGGAAAGCGGCCACUUGGGGCGUGGCCCCCCGCCGCCCCCUCAGCCCUGACUCGGCCACCUCCGCUUCUCCAGCUCCCCUCUCUCACACGGCUCUCGGCUCCGGCAUCGGUGCCAUGCGGGAGCGCGGGGGGCUGCUGUGCCCCACGCUCCGUUUCAGUGGCCUCCGAGUUCCUGGUUGCAACCCCCUGGACCCCCAAAACUGCCGACCGCCGUCCGAGUGAAGAUCGCGACCUGGGCAACGCCUGCUGGUGUGAGGGGGCACAAGCACUUCACCAACUUCAGACCCGCAGUACCGGCCCUGGAGGUUUGACAGGUCCGGGCUACAGCACCCCCGCCGACAUCUGGAGAC